UACGUAGGGUGCGAGCGUUAAUCGGAAUUACUGGGCGUAAAGCGUGCGCAGGCGGUUUGCUAAGACAGGUGUGAAAUCCCCGGGCUUAACCUGGGAACUGCGCUUGUGACUGGCAGGCUAGAGUACGGCAGUGGGGGGUGGAAUUCCUGGUGUAGCAGUGAAAUGCGUAGAUAUCAGGAGGAACACCGAUGGCGAAGGCAGCCCCCUGGGCCUGUACUGACGCUCAUGCACGAAAGCGUGGGGAUCAAACAGGAUUAGAUA
rnacentral:rRNA from 1 species